CCUUUGGAGUGUACAAGAACUUGUGAGUAGUCUCAGGCUUGCCCUGGGCAAAAGCAUACACGAUGAAUAAGGAA
rnacentral:sRNA from 12 species